UCGGCGGUGGAGGAGAGUGGCGCACGGGUGCGUAACACGUAGCUGACCUGCCCUUCGCAGGGGGAUAACACAGCGAAAGUUGUGCUAAUACCGCGUAGGCUGAUGGGGCUUAGAAGCCCAUCAGUAAAGCGAAUGCGGCGAAGGAGGGGGCUGCGGUCCAUCAGCCAGCUGGUGAGGUAACGGCUCACAGGGCGACGACGGAUAGGGGGCCUGAGAGGGUGACCCCCCACACUGGAACUGAGACACGGUCCAGACUCCUACGGGAGGCAGCAGUAAGGAAUAUUGCACAAUGGGCGCAAGCCUGAUGCAAGCAACGCCGCGUGAGGGAUGAAGGGUUUCGGCUCGGUAAACCUCUUUUCUGUGUGAAGAGCAAGGACGGUAGCACAGGAAUAAGUCUCGGCUAACUACGUGCCAGCAGCCGCGGUAAAACGUAGGAGGGCGAGCGUUAUCCGGAAUUACUGGGCGUAAAGCCGCACGGUAGGCGGCGCUGCAAGUGGUGCCGUGAAAGCUCCCGGCUCAACUGGGAGAG
rnacentral:rRNA from 1 species